GACAGAGGUGCCGAGCGUUAGGCGGAAUCACUGGGCUUAAAGCGUGUGUAGGCGGGCGGGCAAGUACCUUGUGAAUCCCACGGCUCAACCGUGGAACGGCUGGGUAUACUGCCUGUCUUGAGCCAACUAGGGGCGAGCGGAACAGACGGUGGAGCGGUGAAAUGCGUAGAUAUCGUCUGGAACGCCAAAGGUGAAAACAGCUCGCUGGGGUUGUGCUGACGCUGGAGACACGAAAGCCAGGGGAGCGAACGGG
rnacentral:rRNA from 1 species